CCUACGGGAGGCUGCAGUGGGGAAUUUUGGACAAUGGGCGAAAGCCUGAUCCAGCAAUGCCGCGUGUGUGAAGAAGGCCUUCGGGUUGUAAAGCACUUUUGUCCGGAAAGAAAACGCCGUGGUUAAUACCCGUGGCGGAUGACGGUACCGGAAGAAUAAGCACCGGCUAACUACGUGCCAGCAGCCGCGGUAAUACGUAGGGUGCAAGCGUUAAUCGGAAUUACUGGGCGUAAAGCGUGCGCAGGCGGUCCGCUAAGACAGAUGUGAAAUCCCCGGGCUUAACCUGGGAACUGCAUUUGUGACUGGCGGGCUAGAGUAUGGCAGAGGGGGGUAGAAUUCCACGUGUAGCAGUGAAAUGCGUAGAGAUGUGGAGGAAUACCGAUGGCGAAGGCAGCCCCCUGGGCCAAUACUGACGCUCAUGCACGAAAGCGUGGGGAGCAAACAGGAUUAGAUACCCCGGUAGUC
rnacentral:rRNA from 1 species